CUCGAGACCUCCCACAUUGAACAGCUGAUGACCAUGUUUCAUCAGCAAUAGGUAUUUAAAUGCUACAAGCUCUUGAUGAUGGCGUUUUGAACAUGCAAAAACGCAUGUUGAGCGGUUUCUAUUAUCACUGCACUUGGUAGCACUUUUUUAUUUUUAUUACCACUAUGGUUAUUGAUUUUUAUGCGUUUCUUUAUUUAUAACUUUAGUAGGGAGAGUCGGUUCAGGUAGACACUAGUAGUCAGACCACAGUGUUAAGGUAACUCUUGAAAUGAAUUGAGAGAUUUUUUUUUCUCUUUGAGGCUUUUUAUCUGCAUUUAGACUAGAGUAUCUGGUCCCUUGUUCUCUGUGGACCCUGUGCCUUUUCUCUCUCCCUAACCUCGUUUACACUACCUUCCCGUCAGUCGGACACUAGGGGAAUUGGAACCUAGAUGCAAUUUAGUACACCAAAUAAUGGAUCCCCUGGGCACUGUUUAGUAGAUCUCCCUUCUUUCAAGAUAUACUUUUUGUUUGCAUAUCCUUUUUAUCCUUAGAUUGAAAGCGGUGUGAGGUAGUUCUGAUAUGGAGGUCUAUGACAGCGGUGUGAGGUAGUUCUGAUAUGGAGGUCUAUGACAGCGGUGUGAGGUAGCUCUGAUAUGGAGGUCUAUGACAGCGGUGUGAGGUAGCUCUGAUAUGGAGGACUAUGACAGCGGUGUGAGGUAGUUCUGAUAUGGAGGACUAUGACAGGGUGUGAGGUAGUUCUGAUACUAAGGACUGUGACAGGGUGUGAGGUAGCUCUGAUAUUGAGGACUGUGACAGGGUGUGAGGUAGCUCUGAUACGAAGGACUGUGACAGGGUGUGAGGUAGCUCUGAUAUGGAGGUCUAUGACAGCGGUGUGAGGUAGUUCUGAUAUGGAGGACUGUGACAGGGUGUGAGGUAGUUCUGAUAUGGAGGACUGUGACAGGGUGUGAGGUAGCUCUGAUAUGGAGGACUAUGACAGGGUGUGAGGUAGCUCUGAUAUGGAGGACUGUGACAGGGUGUGAGGUAGCUCUGAUAUGGAGGACUAUGACAGGGUGUGAGGUAGUUCUGAUACGAAGGACUGUGACAGGGUGUGAGGUAGCUCUGAUAUGAGGUUGCCAUUUCCGG